AGACCUGAUGGGCAAGGGCACUUUCUCUGCCACCCCACCCCACCCAUCAGUGGCACAGGUAGGUGGGACAGAUGGGGGAUCCACAUUUGGAAGAGGGAUGCUGUGCGUAGAGCUGCCCUCCCCUGGCUGCCCAGGGGACACAUCCUCAAGGGGAUGCUGACAGAGGCUGGCAGCCCCUGGUUCAAAUCCCAUCCACUGCCAGGCUGGCCAGGGCCACAGAGAGAAGGCAGACAGACCAGCUGAGGCCUGGAAACGACGUGCGAGAAGGGGCAGGUAAGAGACCUUAGGACUAUGUGCCCGGAGAGGAAAGUCAGAUCGAUGCAGGGUAGCUUGUUCUAUGGGCCUCCGGGAGCCACAGAGAGGACAAGGUGAAGAGGGCUCUCUAAUAGCCAUGACCACCCAAACCUGGAAGGAGCCACUCAGGAGGUAGCACCUGUCUGAAUCUGUGUGAGCAAAAGCUGGAGUUGCCUUGGUGGGGGGAGCCCUCUGUGAAGCCGCAGAAAUGAUGAUCCUGCCUUGUCCCUCUUCCCCCAUUGCUUCUGGUAGACAGCCUGACUCCCUGGUCUCGUACACAGGGCUGGCACACAGCCCAGGCUGGACACCUCAUAGCACCCGUUUCGCUGGACUCAGUGACUGGUCCAGGGAUGGGAAUGGGACUGAAGACAGGCCAGUGACGGGGACAGCAGGAGGUGCCUGAGGCAGUGGCUGGGAGGGUGUGGUGAAUUUUAUUUCACUGAGCAGUUGGGCUAGCUGUGUUGUUGCAGUAUAGACAGUGUACAUGGGCAAGACUUAGGAGAGGUGAUAAAGUGGGGGAGAGCACAGUGAGCACGUCGGGAGGCUGAAGGGCUCUGGGAGAAAAGAAGAGGACAGAGAGGAGAAAUGGCUGCCAGGGUAGGGAAUGCAGCUGUUGGAAGAGGGAGAUGGCCAAAGAGGAGACGCAAACUUUUAUCAUGUGAUGUGCACUGUCCUCUCCCUCCCCAAGAAACGUUUAGCAAACAGUGCCAUUCAAGUGGGACCCGCUCUUUGCCCUCGAAACACUGAUGUUCUGAGAUGAAAUUCAAGACACGAAAUGGCAAAAUAAGGGCCCCAGGGACAGGUGGCCAAAGAUACAAGCCCAGAGCCAACCCUGACUGUGUCCUAGCCACAUGGAGAAACCCGUGUGCAGCAUUCGAGGCUGAAGCUCAGGAGUAGGCAAGACUGGAUAGUGGGAGAGGACCCGGUCACCCAGGAGACCACUUCUGGCCCUGCCUUGAGACUGCUUCUGUGACCUGAUAACAUUUCCAGAUGUGCCUGACCCACAUCCCAAGCGUUUUGACUGACACAGGCUGCUCCCAGUUUUGGGCAAGGAUGCCGUUUGAUGCUCGGACCUGAGGCCACGGCCCCCUGCUGCCUGACUCCCCUCUGUGACUGGCGCCCUGGGCACGCACCUGCAGCGUGAUGUUGGCCCGUGGCCAGUUCUGCAGAUCGGUGAACUGCAGUCCUGGAGAUAAAUCACUAAACAUCUUGGGAAACUGGACCCUUAAAGCAACAGAAGAUGCUCCUAAUGAACACUUUCCCCGAGAGAACAAGCCAGAAGGAUACUGAAGACAAGAAAAGAAAAAACAGACACGAGCAAAAGAGAGAAGACUCCAAUUACUAAACAAAUACAAGAGGGGACAGUACUUCCGGCAGGUAGUUCUGACACAGCAUACAUCCUGUAGCGUCAGCAUUCACAACAGCCCAAAGCGGAAAUAACCCAAAUGCCUGUCAGCGGAUGAAUGGAUAAACGAGUGUGGUCUAUUCAUGCAGCGGAAUACUAUUUGGCCACAAAAAGGAAUGAAGUUCUAAUACAUGCUCCCACAUGGAUGAACCUCAAAGACAUGACGCUAAGUGAAAGAAGCCAGUCACAAAGGACCACAGAUUGUAUGAUUCCAUUUAUAUGAAAUCUUCAGGAUAAGGAACUCUACAGACAGAUACCAGAUUCUUGGUUGCCUGGAGCUGAGAUGGGGGGCAGUGGGGUGACAGAUAAGAGGUAUGGAGUUUCUUGUUGGAGUAAUGAAAAUGUUCUAAAAUUGAUUAUGGUUAAUGCAUGCAAAAUCCUGAUAAUAGAGUACAAGCCACUGAAUUA